CAAUAGCGUAUAUUAAAGUUGUUGCGGUUAAAAAGCUCGUAGUUGGAUUUCUGCCGAGGACGACCGGUCCGCCCUCUGGGUGUGUAUCUGGUUUGGCCUGGGCAUCUUCUUGGAGAACGUAGCUGCACUUGACUGUGUGGUGCGGUGUCCAGGACUUUUACUUUGAGGAAAUUAGAGUGUUUCAAGCAGGCACACGCCUUGAAUACAUUAGCAUGGAAUAAUAAGAUAGGACCUCGGUUCUAUUUUGUUGGUUUCUAGAGCUGAGGUAAUGAUUAAUAGGGAUAGUUGGGGGCAUUCGUAUUUAACUGUCAGAGGUGAAAUUCUUGGAUUUGUUAAAGACGGACUGCUGCGAAAGCAUUUGCCAAGGAUGUUUUCAUUGA
rnacentral:rRNA from 1 species